rnacentral:rRNA from 1 species
UACGGAGGGGGCGAGCGUUAUUCGGAAUUAUUGGGCGUAAAGGGCGCGUAGGCGGCUGUACAAGUCAAAGGUGAAAUCCCUCGGCUCAACUGAGGAACUGCCUUUGAAACUGUACGGCUUGAGGCCGGGAGGGGGUAGCGGAAUUCCCAGUGUAACGGUGAAAUGCGUAGAUACUGGGAGGAACACCAGUGGCGAAGGCGGCUACCUGGACCGGUUCUGACGCUGAGGCGCGAAAGCGUGGGUAGCAAACAGG